rnacentral:rRNA from 1 species
AUUACCGAGUUAUUCAACUCAUCAACCCUGUGAACAUACCUAAACGUUGCUUCGNCGGGAAUAGACGGCCCCGUGAAACGGGCCGCCCCCGCCAGAGGACCCUUAACUCUGUUUCUAUAAUGUUUCUUCUGAGUAAAACAAGCAAAUAAAUUAAAACUUUCAACAACGGAUCUCUUGGCUCUGGCAUCGAUGAAGAACGCAGCGAAAUGCGAUAAGUAAUGUGAAUUGCAGAAUUCAGUGAAUCAUCGAAUCUUUGAACGCACAUUGCGCCCGCCAGUAUUCUGGCGGGCAUGCCUGUUCGAGCGUCAUUACAACCCUCAGGCCCCCGGGCCUGGCGUUGGGGAUCGGCGGAGCCUCUCUGUGGGCACACGCCGUCCCCCAAAUACAGUGGCGGUCCCGCCGCAGCUUCCAUCGCGUAGUAGCUAACACCUCGCGACUGGAGAGCGGCGCGGCCACGCCGUAAAACACCCAACUUUUCUGAAGUUGACCUCGAAUCAGGUAGGAAUACCCGCUGAACUUAAGCAUAUCAAUAAGCGGAGGAAAAGAAACCAACAGGGAUUGCCUCAGUAACGGCGAGUGAAGCGGCAACAGCUCAAAUUUGAAAUCUGGCUCUCGGGCCCGAGUUGUAAUUUGUAGAGGAUGCUUUUGGUGAGGUGCCUUCCGAGUUCCCUGGAACGGGACGCCAUAGAGGGUGAGAGCCCCGUCUGGUUGGACGCCGAACCUCUGUAAAGCUCCUUCGACGAGUCGAGUAGUUUGGGAAUGCUGCUCUAAAUGGGAGGUAUAUGUCUUCUAAAGCUAAAUACCGGCCAGAGACCGAUAGCGCACAAGUAGAGUGAUCGAAAGAUGAAAAGAACUUUGAAAAGAGAGUUAAACAGUACGUGAAAUUGUUGAAAGGGAAGCGCUUGUGACCAGACUUGGGCUUGGUUGAUCAUCCGGGGUUCUCCCCGGUGCACUCUUCCGGCCCAGGCCAGCAUCAGUUCGCCCUGGGGGACAAAGGCUUCGGGAACGUGGCUCUCUCCGGGGAGUGUUAUAGCCCGUUGCGUAAUACCCUGUGGCGGACUGAGGUCGCG